AAGCGUUAUCCGGAUUUACUGGGUGUAAAGGGAGCGUAGACGGCCAGGCAAGUCUGAUGUGAAAACCCGGGGCUCAACCCCGGGACUGCAUUGGAAACUGUCAGGCUAGAGUGCCGGAGAGGCAAGCGGAAUUCCUAGUGUAGCGGUGAAAUGCGUAGAUAUUAGGAAGAACACCAGUGGCGAAGGCGGCCUGCUGGACGGUAACUGACGUUGAGGCUCGAAAGCGUGGGGAGC
rnacentral:rRNA from 1 species